GAAUGGAGAAGACUAUGUCUGUCUUUGUUUCCUUUCCUCCAAGCACCGAGUAUGGUAAAUGUUACUAAUUUCUUAGUGCGUGUGUGUUUGAUAUUCUCAAAUAUGAUAUCUCAGAUUCUAUUACCUUUGGAUCACACAACAAUAUCAAAAUCUGGUGGAAGUGGUUGACAAUUGGAUAUGCUUAUCUUGGAUACAUUAUAGAAGUGUAGCACAUAUCAUCCUUAUUCAUUAUACGUUUGAAUUUUCUUGUGUUACUUUAUGCUGAUGUUUUCAAAUUCUUUCUUUCAUUGUGACUGCAACAAGAUCGCACAACACCCCGGUUGGCUUUAUUUUGAAAGAUUAUGAGUUUUUUCUCCUUCUAUUGUUUAUAUAUGCUUACUUUUUUUUGUAGACGCUAGAGACAAUAAAAUGACAGUGUCCUUUGCUUAGAUGAUAUACAUACUGUGCAACCGUUCAGUCCUACCAAUGAUAUAGAUCUUACUCCAAUUUUCGUACGCCAAUAUGCUAUGGAUAGCCUUGCUGUGAAGUUUCCGUAUUUAGUUCAAGUGAAACUUAAAAAGGCCAACAAGCUAGGCGAGUAGAACAGCUGGGUUGGAGAGUAAACAAAGAAGAUUAUGAGAAGCCAUUUUUAGCUGCAAACUUAUCAUUCAGGCCACUUCCAGCAAGUUAAUCAAAGCCUCUUUCAUGUCUCCCUGCUGCAUCUAUGGGGAAUCUCCAUCAUUAGUUAUGCCGUCAGUGAUGUAUGGAGAAGACUAUGUCCGUCUUGGUUUCCUUUUUGGAGAAAAAUCAAGAGUGGCUUAUAUAUUCGAUGUUUCACGCUUUCCUCCCUGCACUGAGUACAUUAUAUCAAAAUCUGGUGGUAGACAACUAGAUCUGCUUAUCUUGGAUACAUCAUUUAAGACAUGAUCACUCAACACCACUUAUGUUUCCCUGGCCACAUGUAUGCUUACUUUGUUUUGUGUAGACACUAGAGACAAUCGAAUUUUCGUGUACUAAAAGAGGACUUUUAGGAAGAAUGACUCACGAGUUUGAUCACCACAAGGACAACGAGUGUCUUGAAGAAUGGUCUAAUAGAUACAGAGCUUUAGAAACAAUCACAAACUGUCUUAAUAAACCAUACGCAGAGUGAUGAUCUUAUUUGUUUUCUGCAGAUAAUUUUGAGUAUCUUCGGAAUAGUUUACUAAAUUUGAACGACUUCUCUUGGUUUUGAUUUUCUUCGGCAAGAAGGAGCGAACAGACUUGCAACGGUCUGCUGGUAACCUUUCUACAUGAGACUACACUGCAGCAGUAGGGAAAAUCACAGAGGCUCUUUCAGAUUUUGUGAUGGGAUUCAUCUCGGUUAAUCAUGCGUCUUGGAAAUGGGAGAUGUGUAUCCGUCUAUGAUUCAUGCAACGCUUGGUGUUCAAGUGGUGAAAAAAUGGUGAUGCACUUGGUCAAAAAUACAACACUCCAGAGUCUCUCGCUCCUAGCCUUAACAUUCAUAGUUAGUACCUAUCUCAGGAAAGUAUCGGUUUUAUGUAUGCUUCUUGACCUUCAUAAAUUUUUUGAUUUGAGGAACCUUUCUUUUGCUUGGUGUUCCAUAUUUCGUAAAGACUAUCCCCAAAUGCUAAUACAUCAUAACACCACCUAGCAUCGUGUGGAUCAAGACUUGCUUCAAAAAAACUACUUCAAUGAUUGAAUGGGAAUAAAAGAUUUUGAUCAGUUUGGCUUU